UGGUGGGAGAGGGAAAAGCACAGGACUAGCGGCGAGGACGCGUCCUCGGAGAGGCGGAGGAAGGCCGGCCUUGAGAUGUGAAGGGCACUGACAUAUUUGGGCGUCUCUUACAGUGUCUCUCCUGGCUUCGGAGCCUCGCUUUCCGCCGACGGGGUUUCCCUGGCUGUGGAGGGAGGGAUGUGGGCCGAGUGGAUGGCCUGGCCUCUCCGGUGUGACAGGUCCGUCACCACCCACCCGUCCCCGAGGCCCGGCGGCCUUUAGCCUUCGGUGCGUGGUCGGGCUUGGCGGCUCCAGGGCUGGGAGUUACAGUCCUUCCCUUCCGUGAGGGCGGGAAGAGCGAAAUGGUUCUGCCCGACAGGACAAGCACCUGAGUUCCUUUGGAAAGGACGCCCAUCUUUCAUACUGUACACUGGAAUUCAGAAAGAGCUAGAGGGACAAAUUGUAGACGUUUCCUAAGAAAAUAAAGGACUGGAAUUCAUGGAUUUGCUCAAACCUCUUCCUUGCUGCAGACACUGAGCCUGUACCACCUCUUCAGCCCACCACGGACGAGGCCUGUGUGUGUCUUUCAGGUGCAUGAAGACCUCAGGAGCCAAGAGAGUCAUAAAUGUGUUUCCUUGGAAUCGCACACUGAAAGUUCCAGAACAUUCAUGCAGUUUUCUAGGUCUUCACCUGUUGUCAGUUUGCACCAGCUGCUUCUCUCCACCUAAUCCUGGGGUCCUUCCUGGGAGGUUAGUCCAACAGAGAAGCCACCACCCACAGGAAGUCCUGGCGCACGCUGAGCAGCGGACAGAGGCCGACACUUGAGGUACGUGAAGGCAUUCCCACGGCAUCUCCCAGAUUUUGUCUUUGGGGAUGACAGGGAUAACGAGGAAUGGGGCCAGGGAAGUCUCAGGCUCUUGUGUUUGUCCUUAUGAAUGUGCUGGUCUAUGGUUAGGAGCAAUGGACUAAGUUACAUGCUGUCCAGGAAAAUGUCUAGCGUUACUCAUUUGACCUCCACCCCAUCUUUUCAAACUGAAGGGUGAGCAAAACGGAAUUUUAAAAUGCUAUGCUGAUACUCAAUUUUUUUUUAACAGCCAACCUCUUCUUGGUUCUGUCUGAGGUUUUAGAAGUUAGAAAAAAGAUUUUUUGUUCCUAGCAUGAAACCAGAAGCCAUACACAGUUCUUUACUUUUGAGAUGCAGCAGAACACAAUGUGCCUGAUCAGUUUGGUCACCUAACCCUCCCUGACACUGGACUCCUACACUGAGGACCGUUUAAGCCUGGAGGAAAUACUGAGAUUAGAAGGGCAUGAUAUAAAGCUCAUGUGAGAAGUGUAAGAAAUCCUGGCACGAGGUGGGGGAAUUAAACUUACCAAAAAAAA